rnacentral:tRNA from 1 species
GGGUCGGUAGCUUAAGCGAUAAAGCCCCUGGCUGAAGACCAGGUGACGAGGAUUCGAGCGCCUCCUGGCCCA